rnacentral:rRNA from 1 species
GACGAACGCUGGCGGCGUGCUUAACACAUGCAAGUCGAACGGUAAGGCCCUUCGGGGUACACGAGUGGCGAACGGGUGAGUAACACGUGGGUGAUCUGCCCUGCACUUCGGGAUAAGACUGGGAAACUGGGUCUAAUACCGGAUAGGACCACUGCCUGCAUGGGUGGUGGUGGAUAGAUUUUGCGGCGUGGGAUGGGCCCGCGGCCUAUCAGCUUGUUGGUGGGGUGAUGGCCUACCAAGGCGACGACGGGUAGCCGGCCUGAGAGGGUGACCGGCCGCCCUGGGACGGAGAUACGGCCCAGACUCCUACGGGAGGCAGCAGUGCGGAAUAUUGCACAAUGGGCGCAAGCCUGAUGCAGCGACGCCGCGUGAGGGAUGACGGCCUUCGGGUUGUAAACCUCUUUCAGCACCGACGAAGCGCAAGUGACGGUAGGUGCAGAAGAAGGACCGGCCAACUACGUGCCAGCCGCCGCAGUAA